rnacentral:rRNA from 1 species
CCCUGCCAUUUGUACACACCGCCCGUCGCUACUACCGAUUGAAUGGUUUAGUGAGCCUCACGGACUGCGGCCUCGAGCGUUUCGCGAGAGGCUCGCGGGAAGUGAGUCAAACUUGAUCAUUUAGAGGA